rnacentral:rRNA from 1 species
GUAGGGAAUAUUGGACAAUGGGGGGAACCCUGAUCCAGCCAUGCCGCGUGGAGGAAGACUGCCCUCUGGGUUGUAAACUCCUUUUAUAUGGGAAGAACCGUCCUCAUUAAUGAGUGACCUGACGGUACCAUAGGAAUAAGCACCGGCUAACUCCGUGCCAGCAGCCGCGGUAAUACGGAGGGUGCAAGCGUUAUCCGGAUUCACUGGGUUUAAAGGGUGCGUAGGCGGAUAAAUAAGUCAGUGGUGAAAUCAACGGGCUCAACCUGUUAACUGCCAUUGAUACUGUGUAUCUUGAAUAUGAGAGAGGUAGGCGGAAUGUUGCAUGUAGCGGUGAAAUGCUUAGAUAUGCUACGGAACACCGAUUGCGAAGGCAGCUUACUAUUUCGUAAUUGACGCUGAGGCACGAAAGCGUGGGGAUCGAACAGGAUUAGAAACCCCUGUAGUCC